CAGAAAGAAUUAAAGGGAGCGAUUGAAGUCUCUAAUAGGAUGGCAGAAGCAAACAAGAGGUAAGCCUCACAGGAGGAGGAGAGCAGACCUGAGCCUCACAGACUUUUUUUGAAGGAGGGACGAAAGCAAAGUGAGGGGGCAGAUCUUUUGUGCUGGGAGAUGCCUGUGGAUAUUUUUAUAGGAAAGCACAUUCUACAUUUCUACAGGGAGAGAGCAGACCCCCAGGGAUUUCUCUCACCACGAUCCUAACUCCAAAUUUGGGAGUGCCUGCCAAAAGUGGCCUCCCCGAAGACUCUUUCCUGUGGCAAAGUCAGGCGGCAGACAUUACUGCAGAAUUCCAGGGGCAGAUAUCAGAGGAAAGCAUGCUGGAAAAGGCCUUUUAAAAUGAGUGAAUCCACAACUGAAAGUUUAGUAGUGACCUGGAAGUCAAAGAGAAGCUGUUGGGAAACGGAUCUUAAAUCCUCACCUUUGAGGAUCAAGAGUCUAGAUGGAAGACAUCCAAAGAGUUUCAGAGCUGUAGACUGACACAUAAUGUAUUCAAGGGCGACUUGAAGAAAGCCAGAAAACAAAGGAAGAGAAGGAGACACUACAAGCAGAAGGGAGGAGGGGCAGAGCAACGGAAAUAGGACUAUGGGAGAAAUAUACUUCCACGUUUCACAUUUCCUUGCAGGAUGUGUGUGGCUAAAACAGAAAUGAACACCCAUGCAUCAUCACAAAGAACUGGAUGCAUACACAAUAUCACACACAGCAAGCACAAUCCUUUUACGUUUUAACACCAUGUCCUUGAUCACAAGGAUGGACCAACAGCAGAGAGAAGGUGGAGUAUGCACAUAGCUAAUAAGAUAGCAUACAGCAUGAGUGUUGCGCAUGCUGUUUGUUAUUUUCAAUAGAAAGCUACAUGGGCAGCUUCCAUUGUACCCAUGUAGAUCUGGAAGAAAGGAAGAACUUAUGAAGUUACUGGGUUUUUACCCCAGCUCAGAGAUCGUGCUCUUUCUGAAACUUUUCUCAGGGCAGAAGCGAUGCAUAUUUUAUGCAUUUUCUCUUUUAAUGCAGCAGUGCAGGCCUCUCUUAUUUUUCUCAGCAGCUUCAAAUCAAACAGUUGAUCAAAAGUCCAUGAAAGGCUUUGUGCUUAACUGCAAGCAUAUGGUCACCUGCUUAAAGUUAAGCUCUUGCUUAAGUACUUUGGAUCAGGACCUAAACGUACAACACACUCUCUGAGUGAAAAUUAGUGUCCUCUCGAGAUCACCACUAGCAAGCAAACAAACUGCUUUGCCUGGUGUUCAAAAUCAUCCUUUAUUGUCUAUUGCAAGAGUGCAUUUUUUAAAGCAUCAUAUUAACUCCUAACUCAAAACAACAAAGAUGCUUACUGUAUAUAAUACAUUUCCGCUGUUGUGAAAAUAAAUGUUUUAUUCCAGGCCCCAUGAAUGGGAUACCUGAUUUGUGGCAAUAUAGCAUCUCUCUCAUUGCAAAAUAAAAGAACAAAGCAUUUGCAAAAAUUAAAUAUGCCAGCCCAGUGGCAUUAGAGAGCAUACUGCCUGGCAGAAAAUACAGCUUCUGCAGCAACUUUGGGAUCCCUAAUUUUUAACACAGUGAAGAUCAGACAUAGUGAAUAUUGAUAAUAUACCAGAUCAUCAGUUGAUGUAAAUCAAGGUGGCUCUGCUGAGUGCAAUAAACCUAUGCUGAUUUACACCACUGAAAAACCUGACCCAGAAUUCUUGGUUUUCAGGAAAGGGAGAAGGGCAUGAGCUACUCUACCCCAAAUAUGCCCUGCCGGCCAAUUUGUGAUGUGUCAUGGACUCAAUAUGUCGUUUCAGAGGUGGUUCAAUCUCCUAUCCUUUCAGUUCAGGGGAGGAGUUUUGGGAGCUAGUGGUAAACCUAAUGUGAAAAGAGAGGUAUUAGCACAAGCAGCAAUUCCUAAAAUGUCCACCGCAAAACAGAAGUGGGGACGGCAAAUCUGAUAACAGGAAAUACGAACACUAUGAUAUGUUAAUAUACUGUAAUACAUUGCUACUGAAAAACACGUUAAAUAUAAAUAUACAUACAUCCAAUGAAAAUAAAGUAUUUGUUAAUCUCCAGCACAUCUAAUCCCACCUGCAAACUGUGACUGUAAAAUGUAAACUAUAUGACUUAAAGAACUGGAAACUAUUCCUCUAAAAUUCAAAUUAGGAUACUUGUAAUUUUUGUCCCUCAGAUAAAAUUUAUCCUGUCAAACACUAACCUGUAAAUACAUGAUAAAUCAUUAAAGAUCCAAACAAAUAGCAACCUGAGAGUGGUAUUAUGUAUUAAA